CGUUGAAACACCGGUUCCUGUAAGAUCACUGAAGGUAAGCAACGUUAAGCCCGGUCAGUACCAAGAUGGGUUGUCUCUUGGAAGACCAGGUGCUGUAAG